GGUUACCUACGGGAGGCAGCAGUGGGGAAUAUUGCACAAUGGGGGGAACCCUGAUGCAGCGACGCCGCGUGGGUGAAGAAGUCAUUCGUGACGUAAAGCCCUAUCAGCAGGGAAGAAAAUGACGGUACCUGACUAAGAAGCCCCGGCUAACUACGUGCCAGCAGCCGCGGUAAUACGUAGGGAGCAAGCGUUAUCCGGAUUUACUGGGUGUAAAGGGCGCGUAGGCGGGAUGGCAAGCCAGAUGUGAAAUCCAGGGGCUCAACCCCUGAACUGCAUUUGAAACUGUCGUUCUUGAGUACUGGAGG
rnacentral:rRNA from 1 species